GGCCCUACGGGGUGCAGCAGGCGCGGAACCUUUACAAUGCACGCAAGUGUGAUAAGGGAAUCCCAAGUGCUAUACUUUUAGUAUGGCUUUUGCUAAGAGUAAAUAUCUUGGCGAAUAAGUGGUGGGUAAGACUUGUGCCAGCCGCCGCGGUAACACCAGCGCCACAAGUGGCAAUCGCUUUUAUUGGGCCUAAAGCGUUCGUAGCCGGUUUAGCAAAUUUCCUGUGAAAUCGAUGUACUCAAUAUAUCGACGUGCAGGAAACACUACUAAGCUAGGGACCGGGAGGCGUCAGAGGUAUUCUUGAGGGAGCGGUAAAAUGCUAUAAUCUCAAGAGGACCCCCUGUGGCGAAGGCGUCUGACGAGAACGGAUCCGACGGUGAGGGACGAAAGCCAGGGGAGCAAACCGGAUUAGAUACCCGAGUAGUCCUGGCUGUAAACGCUGCGAGCUAGGUGCUGCAUAAUCUCCGUGAUUGUGCAGUGUCGAAGCGAAGGUGUUAAGCUCGCCGCCUGGGAAGUAUGGUCGCAAGACUGAAACUUAAAGGAAUUGGCGGGGGAGCAC
rnacentral:rRNA from 1 species